ensembl:lincRNA
CACAUUUUCCAAAUUGUGUUCCAAAGAAGGCUAAUGUCCCUUAACUAGAAAAAAAAAGCAACAAAUGCUGGGUGGGUGUGGAAGAGGGUGUAUUCUGUCAAAAUAAAUCUGGUCAUGUAGGCAUUAAAUUAACUUAAACAGGCUUUUUUACUGCAGGGCUUCCGUGAAUUUGGAGAUUUUCCUGAGCUGGGAGGUGACCAAACAUAUCUACUCCUUUGAUCUCAACACUUCCUGAAAAACAGAUACUAACAACCAAGAUUUUCAGAGAGGCAAGGCUAAGCACCAGCCAGAGGAAGAUAAACAACAGCUGGAGACUUCUUUGGAUCUCAUGGACUGCAGAAUCAGUGAAAUCCAUGUUUGAACUCUAUGUGACUUCAAACAAAUUACAUAACUUCUUGACCCUCCAUUUCCCCAACUACAGAAUACAUAUAAUAAUAGCUUUCAGAAUCAUUGUAAAGAGUAAAUAAAAUUCGUGGUUAGAAGAUGUCACCAAAUCCCUGGCACACAGCAGGUGCACUGUAAUUCCUUUCUGCUCUGGAAUAAAGGGCAUAGUAGAGUGGCUUGUAGAAAUUAGAUUUUUAAUACCCUGCUUUGUGUUGAAUAAAGAAAAAUGCAUGUGUUAAGCAUCUCUUGGUGGUAUCCCACAUACACACCCAGGAAAGGUUUUUUCAGAAACUUCUCAUACCACGAG